GUCGCGAUGUUGCGCCGCGCCAUGCCCCCCACGUGUGGGCAAGCCCUCUACUGUGCCCGCUCCAUUUCAUCGAGCACGCCAAUGCACUUGCCCUCUCCUACUCUUGCUUUGUGUCUCCUCGCUCGCCUACUCCCUCCUCCUCGUCUCCCACUCUAACACUGUGCCUCCAUGGAUGCCGACGGGUAGCUCACGGACGUGCCCCCAUCAUCCUCCUCCGUCCGAGCCUCAGCCAUAGUCGUCUUCCUCGAGCUUCUACGAGCGACGUGUGUGCUUCCCUGGAGCUCAAGCACGCUGGAGUGGCUCCAGUCGACAUUGAUGUUCAUCACUGUUGAUUGCGCUUGCAGAUCUGCCUCCUCUGUUCACCUCUCGGCGAGCCAAAGACGCUAUCUAGCUCGCCUUCGACCGCCGCUUCUCCCAGCCACCUUGCACUGCUCGUCUCAUCACUGGAUCGCAGGAGGGAGUACUAAUAGAAAGAGCCAAGGAGUUGCAGGAGAUUUCUACUAAGAAAGUUGAACCUGAAGCCAACGCUCAGGAGUGUCUUGACGAUCAUCCUAGUUCCUUCGAGAAAGGCAACCCGACAUCUAAUUCCCAUGAUUUACAAUAAUUGUUUGUGCACCUACCUGCCUAUGCUUGUUGCUUUAAGUUGUAGGAGUUGUUUGAAAACAAUUGUUGCAUUAUCCUCGAUUUACCAUUGUUAUCCUACCCUUGUUACCUAGUUAAGUAAGUAUGCUUAAUUACUUAGGCUGGCUUAGAACGGUAGGAGUCUGGUGAUUUCCUGUCACCUGCGAGAUAUAGGUGGACACUUUAUGCUUGAUUGGGUAUUUUCAUUAGGAAACAUUAAUGCUUGUGUGAA